AUUGAACGCUGGCGGCAGGCCUAACACAUGCAAGUCGAGCGGAUGAUGGGAACUUGCUCCUGGAUUCAGCGGCGGACGGGUGAGUAAUGCCUAGGAAUCUGCCUGGUAGUGGGGGACAACGUUUCGAAAGGAACGCUAAUACCGCAUACGUCCUACGGGAGAAAGCAGGGGACCUUCAGGCCUUGCGCUAUCAGAUGAGCCUAGGUCGGAUUAGCUUGUUGGUGAGGUAAUGGCUCACCAAGGCGACGAUCCGUAACUGGUCUGAGAGGAUGGUCAGUCACACUGGAACUGAGACACGGUCCAGACUCCUACGGGAGGCAGCAGUGGGGAAUAUUGGACAAUGGGCGAAAGCCUGAUCCAGCCAUGCCGCGUGUGUGAAGAAGGUCUUCGGAUUGUAAAGCACUUUAAGUUGGGAGGAAGGGUUGUAGAUUAAUACUCUGCAAUUUUGACGUUACCGACAGAAUAAGCACCGGCUAACUCUGUGCCAGCAGCCGCCGUAAGAC
rnacentral:rRNA from 1 species